UGCAUCGCGAAUUUAGUGAGG
rnacentral:piRNA from 1 species